rnacentral:rRNA from 1 species
GUGAGGCGGGUGCUAUACAUGCAAGUCGAACGCACUCUCGUUUAGAUUGAAGGAGCUUGCUCCUGAUUGAUAAACAUUUGAGUGAGUGGCGGACGGGUGAGUAACACGUGGGUAACCUGCCCUAAAGUGGGGGAUAACAUUUGGAAACAGAUGCUAAUACCGCAUAAAACCUAACACCGCAUGGUGUAGGGUUGAAAGAUGGUUUCGGCUAUCACUUUAGGAUGGACCCGCGGUGCAUUAGUUAGUUGGUGAGGUAAAGGCUCACCAAGACCGUGAUGCAUAGCCGACCUGAGAGGGUAAUCGGCCACACUGGGACUGAGACACGGCCCAGACUCCUACGGGAGGCAGCAGUAGGGAAUCUUCCACAAUGGACGAAAGUCUGAUGGAGCAACGCCGCGUGAGUGAAGAAGGUUUUCGGAUCGUAAAACUCUGUUGUUGGAGAAGAAUGUAUCUGAUAGUAACUGAUCAGGUAGUGACGGUAUCCAACCAGAAAGCCACGGCUAACUACGUGCCAGCAGCCGCGGUAAUACGUAGGUGGCAAGCGUUGUCCGGAUUUAUUGGGCGUAAAGCGAGCGCAGGCGGUUUCUUAAGUCUGAUGUGAAAGCCUUCGGCUCAACCGAAGAAGUGCAUCGGAAACUGGGAAACUUGAGUGCAGAAGAGGACAGUGGAACUCCAUGUGUAGCGGUGAAAUGCGUAGAUAUAUGGAAGAACACCAGUGGCGAAGGCGGCUGUCUGGUCUGUAACUGACGCUGAGGCUCGAAAGCAUGGGUAGCAAACAGGAUUAGAUACCCUGGUAGUCCAUGCCGUAAACGAUGAGUGCUAGGUGUUGGAGGGUUUCCGCCCUUCAGUGCCGCAGCUAACGCAUUAAGCACUCCGCCUGGGGAGUACGACCGCAAGGUUGAAACUCAAAGGAAUUGACGGGGGCCCGCACAAGCGGUGGAGCAUGUGGUUUAAUUCGAAGCAACGCGAAGAACCUUACCAGGUCUUGACAUCCUUUGACCACUCUAGAGAUAGAGCUUUCCCUUCGGGACAAAGUGACAGGUGGUGCAUGGUUGUCGUCAGCUCGUGUCGUGAGAUGUUGGGUUAAGUCCCGCACGAGCGCACCUAUACUAGUGCAGCAUUAGUGGGCACUCUAGUGAGACUGCGGUGACAAACCGGAGAAGGUGGGGGACACGUCAAUCUCAUGCCCCUUAAGAC